rnacentral:rRNA from 1 species
AGUGAACGCUGGCGGCAGGCCUAACACAUGCAAGUCGAGCGGCUGAACAGAGCUUGCUCGUGGAUUCGGGGGGGGACGGGUGGGUGGGUCCGAGAAAUCUGCCUGUUUACGUUUUCGUAGGGCCGAACGCGGGCGCUAAUACCGCAAAAGUGCUUAGGGCGAAAGGGGGGGAGCAUGGGACCUUCCGCUCUCACGCGAGUCUAGGUCGCAUUAGCUAGUUGGUGGGGUAAAGGCCCACCAAGGCGACGAUCCGUAACUGGUCUGAGAGGAUGAUCAGUCACACUGGAACUGAGACACGGUCCAGACUCCUACGGGAGGCAGCAGUGGGGAAUAUUGGACAAUGGGCGAAAGCCUGAUCCAGCCAUGCCGCGUGUGUGAAGAAGGCCUUCGGGUUGUAAAGCCCUUUUAGUUGGGAAGAAAGGCAGUAAGUUAAUACCUCGCUGUUUUGACGGUACCAAAAGAAUAAGCACCGGCUAACUUCGUG